UGGGGUGAGCUCAGUGGUAGAGUGCUUGCCUAGCAUGUGUGAAGCACUGGGUUCAAUUCUCAGCACCACAU
rnacentral:tRNA from 1 species